AUUAGAACUAGUUUACAUACACUGAGGUUGGAGUCAUUAAAACUAGUUUACAUACACUGAGGUUGGAGUCAUUACAACUAGUUUACAUACACUGAGGUUGGAGUCAUUACAACUAGUUUACAUACACUGAGGUUGGAGUCAUUAGAACUAGUUUACAUACACUGAGGUUGGAGUCAUUAGAACUAGUUUACAUCCACUUAGGUUGGAGUCAUUAGAACUAGUUUACAUACACUGAGGUUGGAGUCAUUAAAACUAGUUUACAUACACUUAGGUUGGAGUCAUUACAACUAGUUUACAUACACUUAGGUUGGAGUCAUUAGAACUAGUUUACAUACACUUAGGUUGGAGUCAUUAGAACUAGUUUACAUACACUUAGGUUGGAGUCAUUAAAACUCGUUUUUCAACGACUCCACAAAUGUAUUGUUAACUAACUAUAGUUUUGGCAAAUCGGUUAGGACAUCUACUUUGUGCAUGACACAAGUCAUUUCUCCAACAAGAGUUUACAGACAGAUUAUUUCACUUAUAAUUCACUGUAUCACAAUUCCAGUGGGUCAGAGGUUUAUAUACACUAAGUUGACUGUGCCUUUAAACAGCUUGGAAAAGACCAGAAAAUUAUGUCAUGGAUUUAGAAGCUUCUGAUAGGCUAAUUGACAUAAUUUGAGUCAAAUGGAGGUGUACCUGUGGAUGUAUUUCAAGGCCUACCUUCAAACUCAGUGCCUCUUUGCCUGAUAUCAUGGGAAAAUCAAAAGAAAUCAGCCAAGACCUCAGAAAAAAAUGGUAUAACUCCACUAGUCUGGUUCAUCCUUCGGAGUCAUUUCCAAAUGCCUGCGGUACCACGUUCAGCUGUACAAACAAUAGUAUGCAAGUAUAAACACCAUGGGACCAGGCAGCCGUCAUACCGCUCAGGAAGGAGAUGCGUUCUGUCUCCUAGAGAUGAACGCACUUUGGUGUGAAAAGUGCAAAUCAAUCCCAGAACAACAGCAUAGGACCUUGUGAAGAUACUUUUGUAGCGGUUUCCUCCAGUAUCUAAAUCCACAGUAAAACGUGUCCUAUAUCAGCAAGGAAGAAGUCACUGCUCCAAAAACGUCAUAAAAAAAAAGACAGAUUACGGUUUGCAACGGCACGUGAGGACAAAGAUCAUACUUUUUGGAGAAAUGUCCUCUGGUCUGAUGACCAUCUUUAUGUUUGACGGGAAAAGGGGGCGGGGCUUGCAAGCCGAGAACGUCAUCCCAACAGUGAAGCACGGGGGCGGCAGGAUCAUGUUGUGGGGGUGCUUUACUGCAGGAGGGACUGGUGCACUUCACACAAUAGAUGGCAUCAUGAGGAUGGUCAAUUAUGUGGAUAUAUUCAAUCAACAUCUCAGUCAGGAAGUUAAAGCUUGGUUGCAUGACCCCAAUCAUACUUCCAAAGUUGUGGCAAAAUGGCUUAAGGACAACAAAGUCAAGGUAUUGGAGUGGUCAUCACAAAGCCCUGACCUCAAGCCUAUAGAACAUUUGUGGGCAGAACUGAAAAAGCUUGUGUGAGCAAGGAGACCUACAAACCUGACUCAGUUACACCAGCUCUGUCAGGAGGAAUGGGCCAAAAUUAACUCAACUUAUUGUGGGAAGCUUGUGGAAGGUUACCCAAAACAUUUGACCCAAGUUAAACAAUUUAAAGGCAAUGCUACCAAACACUAAUUGAGUGUAUGUAAACUUCUGACCCACUGGGAAUGUGAUGAAAGAAAUACAAGCUGAAAUAAAUAAUUAUUUCUACUAUUAUUCUGACAUUUCACAUUCUUAAAAUAAAGUGGUGAUCCUAACUGACCUGAGAUGGAAUUUUUACUAGGAUUAAAUGUCAGGAAUUGUGAAAAACUGAGUUUAAAUGUAUUUGGCUAAGGUGUUUGUAAACUUCCUGACUUCAACUGUAAUGUGUUUCGUCCUUUUGAAGUUAAAGGGUGCUUACAGCCAGUUCCUCAGAAAAGUCAGGGAAGUAAACAAAGCAGUGAAGGAUCAUGGGUAGUGAUUGACCUCACUGCAGGGUUAGGGGUAUACAUACGGUGGCCUGUAAGUUACAAACUACAGUCCCCUAUAAACAGUGGAGAAAAAAAGUGAAAUAUAUACAAGCUAAUGGGAACAAUGAUAGUAUUUGCCACUUAGUCUCAUCCAACACUAUGCUAGAAACAUUGAUUUGGUUUCCAUGGCAACUCACAAAUCCAAUUCCAAGAAUUGGAAACAAUAUGUUUUGGGAGCCACACAGAGAACUACAGAGCGCUAAAAGGGAGAGAGGUUUUAGUGCACAGGACAGGGUUUACCAAACUCGGUCCUCAGGACACCAAGAGCCACACAGAGAACUACAGAGAGCUAAAAGGGAGAGAGGUUUUAGUG